GUGCCAGCAGCCGCGGUAAUACGGAGGAUGCAAGCGUUAUCCGGAUUCAUUGGGUUUAAAGGGUGCGCAGGCGGAAUAAUAAGUCAGCGGUGAAAGCCUACAGCUUAACUGUAGAACUGCCAUUGAUACUGUUAUUCUUGAGUGUUGUUGAGGUAGGCGGAAUGUGUCAUGUAGCGGUGAAAUGCUUAGAUAUGACACAGAACACCGAUCGCGAAGGCAGCUUACCAAGCAACAACUGACGCUCAUGCACGAAAGCGUGGGGAUCAAACAGGAUUAGAAACCCUAGUAGUCC
rnacentral:rRNA from 1 species